rnacentral:ncRNA from 1 species
UAUUAGUUUAAUUAUGGCUAUAAUAAGCUUUCUUAAAAAAUUACAUAGCAUUUUAGUGUUUUACAAAAAAAUUUUUUUAUUGGGCUUGCUAGUAACGCGUAUUUUGUUAGGUAAAAAAUUACGCCAAGGUUUUAAGUAAUGAAGUGGAUUAUUCACAGUGCCAGCAUCCGCGGUUAUUCUGUUACUUCUGCUUAUUCUACCGCUAUUUAUUGUAUCUUUAACUAUUCCACGGGGGUUAAAUCCUAGUGGUAUUAAAAAUUUUUAAGAUAAAUAUAAUUGAAGGUUUUUCUUAUGUACGGGAAUUAGAUACUCUUUUACAUAACCUUAUAAUUAGAGCUUUAGUAAAACUAAAAUAAUUUGGCAGCUGACUAUUCUUUAUUGGGGAUGGUGUGUAGUAAAAGAUAAUCCGCUUUAGAUUUCACCUGAUUUAAUUAGUUGGUGUACGUCCGGUUAAAAAUUAACAAAUACAUUUUAUGGUUAAUGUAUACAAUCUGUUUAAGCUAGGUCAAUGUGCUAUUAAUAUUUGGGUAUACAUUCCAUACAAUUAUAAAAUAAAGAGAAUAGGUUUAAAUAUUCAGGACUAAUUAGUAACUAUAUUAAUUUUGAUAUACUGAAGCAAGUCUAGUCGGGGUACAUACCGCCCGUCAAUCUCGACUGCUCGUUGAGAUAAGUCGUAACAUGGUAGCCUUAGGGGAACUUGUGGCUAAUAGGCC